rnacentral:rRNA from 1 species
UGGGGAAUAUUGCACAAUGGGGGAAACCCUGAUGCAGCGACGCCGCGUGAGCGAAGAAGGCUUUCGAGUCGUAAAGCUCUGUCCUAUGAGAAGAUAAUGACGGUAUCAUAGGAGGAAGCCCUGGCUAAAUACGUGCCAGCAGCCGCGGUAAUACGUAUGUUGCGAGCGUUAUCCGGAAUUAUUGGGCUUAAAGGGCAUCUAGGCGGUAAGACAAGUUGAAGGUGAAAACCUGUGGCUCAACCAUAGGCUUGCCUACAAAACUGUUGAACUAGAGUACUGGAAAGGUGGGUGGAACUACACGAGUAGAGGUGAAAUUCGUAGAUAUGUGUAGGAAUGCCGAUGAUGAAGAUAACUCACUGGACAGAAACUGACGCUGAAGUGCGAAAGCUAGGGGAGCAAACAGG